CAGCCUUGUCUUCUGUAUUUUUAGACAAUGCCUUGUUUGCAUAAUGAAUGACAGCAUUUGGGAGCUCAUCCCAACUUGCAGCCAUCAAGUCCUUGACAACAGUUUCGAUCUCACGAUCAUUUAUGGCAGGCAUGUGACUCAAAUAACGCCUGCUUCCAAUGUUCAUCGAACUCGAGAGAGGGGACCGGAAAUCUCGUAAUAUCAAAUGACAUCACAUUAUUCUUUUUGGCAGGUAAUACAAAAAGAUAUACUAACUCAAAACAGGAAAGCUAAAGCUCAUAGAUAAUGUAUAUCUAUUGACUCUAGCCAAGCCUAACCAAAGUCCACAAUGCAGAAAAUCUGUCCUAAAGACACCAAAUGAUGCAACUUCUAAAUAAAUGCUCAUUAGUAAAUUUGUGUCCUAAAAGCACUCUCCACAUAAAGAUGUUAAGUACCCAGAUCAAUCUUGUUGAACAAAAUGCCACUCAAGUAGAAUUAUUCCAUCCCAAGAUAUUAUAUUAUAUAUAUAUAUAUAUAUAGUAGGAACAAAAGAGAAAAAUAAGCAAGGACGAUAACGAAGAAAGUACCAGGAGUGAGGCGUUUUGCAACAGUUGGGAGAUGGAAAUAGCGGAGUCCACGGCUGAGGUGAUGCUGGUUGCUGGUAGUGGCGGUAGCGGUGGCCGCAAUAGAGAAACCUAGGGAUCUGCGAUAGAUCGAACGGUAUAGAGAUCUCAUCGUAACAAUUUUCUCCAUUUUCGUUCUUGGAGUGACGACCCUUUUCCCUGCUGCCGUUCGGCAACAACAUAUUUUAAAAUGACUUAAAGUUAAAAUUUAAGUUGACUUAUAAGUUAUUUUAAGUUAUGACUUAUAAGUAAAAGCGUUCAACAUCAAUUUGACUUAAAAGUUAGAAAUUAAGUUAAAACAAGUUAUGAAGGUGUUUAGCUAAUAAUGACUUAUAAGUUAAAAUCAAAUGUAAAGAUUACUAAAAAUGACAUUAAUAAAAAGAUACUUUGAUUUAAUAACAUAUCAUAACAAUCAUCCACAAUUUCAUUAAAUAAAACACUAAAAGUGGAUUUAAAAAACAGUGUUAUACUACUAAAAGUAGUGUACCCUACGUGGUUUGCAUUUUGCACCAUGGUUAGAUCAAAAUAGAACAAUAUAACUAGAAAAUUCUUUACCACAUUCACUAAAUAUUCAAUUGAUUAGCAUCUGGAAAAAAACCACUAAAUUGAAUCAGCCAAAAAUAAAGUUCCAUUCCAAACCUUAAAAUUAAUAUACUCCUAUUAAAACAAAAACAAUACAAGACAUCAAGAGGCCAAAGCAAAACCAAACAGAAAAUAAUGAAAUUCUACUUGAAUUAUUAAAAAGAUUCUUAAAAAACAUGUUUUAAACAAAAAAGAAAUUAGGUGCUUUCAAAAAUUCAUUGAUUAGCCACAAGGUACUUAAUUAACAAGAAAACCACUAAAAUAACUAAAGUUAUGUUUGAUAAAAUUGAAAGUUAAGAUCUGAACAGUUUAGAUAUCUAAAAUGUAGAGCAUCUGAAUCAAAAUGUUGUUUGAUAGUUAAUUCUUUCAAAAUGUCUAAAUAAUAGUAUUUUACAAUUUUAACAUUUUCUUCCUUCUUUCUAUUCAACAACCUAGCUUCUUCUCCUUCCCCUUUCUUCUCCUCCUCCUCCUCCCCCCCUAAUACACUCUAUCGCGCUGAACCGAGUUCAGUUUUCUGGUACAUCAAUAUGGGGUAAUCACACAUAUACUUCAAAUACCAACUAUAAUCAUCAGUAAAAUCUUUUGAUACAUAUAUUGAGAGGGAAAAAAUGAAGGAAAAGUGAUUUCAAAUCGGAUUGUCUGUGCGAUUACUUUACCGUUGAUGAUGGUUGCCUUCUGAUCCGAUGUGGCCGUCCUUUUUCAAGUAUGAAUUUGAUUAAUUAUUCUCUUGUAUUGCUUAGCUUUUCCGAUCCCCAGUUUUGCUAUUUCUAUUUCAUCUGCGUUCUCUCAUCUCAUUCCCAGUUUUGCUCUUUCUAUUUACAUGUAAUUUGUUGAAUAUUAAGGAUGAAUAUGAGGAAAGUGAUGGAGGGUGAUGUUCAAUUUCAUGUGAUCCAUUUAUCUCCUAGCUACAUUCUUUCUGAUUUGAUCCAUGAAAAAAAUUUAUCAAAAAAAAAAAUUUGUCUUCGAUCUACAGUUAGAUUUUGAGAAGGUUAUUUUUGUCCAAAAAAAAUCAAAUUUUCGCUCAGAUGGGCUCUGACUGGUUUAGCUGUAUUUUUGAAUCUUAUAUAUUAAGAGGUAUUCAGAGGCAUAAAAAUGUUUACCAAACAAGUUGUGCCUCUGACCGAAUCAGAGGCACAACUAUUCAGAGCCAUUAAGACGUAAACAAACACAGCCUAAGCCUAGUCUGGAUACCAUUUUAGUCCAACUAAAAUGUUCGAGUCUACCCUAUCUUCAGUAAGAAGCCGGGGAGGAUGCACGUUAGGGGCAGGGGGGCACCUGACCCCACUAAAAUUUCAGAGGUUCAAGGGGGUCAACUUAAAAAAAUUAUUUGAGAAGGCUGUGAAAUGAAAUUUUUAUAUUAUAUACUUCAAAACCUAUUAAACUUCCUAAAGUUAACUGUUAAAGUCUAAAAGACCAAAUCCUAUGGACGUUAUUAUGGAAUCCCACUACAACACUACUCCACUAGUAGUCUUAGACAUUUAGACUUUUAGUACUUCACUUUAUCUAUUGAUCGCAACAAAGGACAUAGCAACAUCAAUUCCAAGUCUCUUAGGUCUCCAUAUUCGCAAUCGCAACAGAGCAACUCCAAAUUCAAGUAUUUUUUAAUUAUAAUUUUAGUUUUUUAAUUUCACAAAUUUAACAAUUGCCUCAGAAAUUUUUGUAAUUGUUUAUAGAUUCUUUUUUUGUACUUUUAUAAAAUUAGGGCUUUUUACUUCUUAAAGCAACACUGCAACAAAGAAGAAAACUCCAUCAAAUAAAAGUUCUUCAAAUUCAAGUGUGUUUUAUUCUAUUUUUACUUUCUUUAAAUUUUGUAAUUUAUUUUGUAAUGUUACUUGUUAGUGGUUUAAUUGAGAUUGUUUAUUGUUGAUACUAAUUGCACUUGAAUAUUCAUAUCGUAUAUUGAUCUUGUUUUAAUGUUAAAUUAGUUUUUAAAUAUUUAUUGAUUGUCAGGCAUGGACAUACGUAAUUGGGUUUCAACUAAACGUACAAAAUUUGAAUCUAUUCCUGAAAAUGUCCAAGCAGAAAGGACUAGUAACGACCCUGUCACUGCUGAUAUUCACCAAGAAACUCACCCGCAAAAUGUUAACCCCCAAACCCAAGUACCAAAAUCUUUUGACCAAAAUAUCCAGUUUCAAACUCAUACACCGGUAUCUACUUCCCUUAAUAUUGUGGGGGUCCCGGUAAAAGACCGCCAAUAAGUUCUUAUCCCACUAGUGAAAGAGAGAAUUUUUGAAAAAGUUAUUUACUUAGGGGGCCGACUCAACCAAUACCUCUCAAAUUUCCCGAUACACUAAUUAGUGGAGUUGCUCGUAAUUAGUUAUUUUCAAAUGUUGGUUGAGAAAAGAAAGGAUGAUGUAUAUCCCCAAGUCUAUUUGUUGCUGAAGUUGGAUCUACUUUUGCCUGUUGCUACUGCAACUAUUGAAAGGACAUUUUCGGUCAUGAAUAUUGUGAAGAAUGAACUCCGUAACCAAAUGAGAGAUGAAUGAAUGACUGUUUAGUAACUUACAUUAACCAUGAUAUUUUUGCAACUAUUAAAAAUGAGGCUAUCAUGCAACAAUUUCAAGCAAUGAAACCUCGAAAAAUAUUGUUGUAAACAAUAUUUGAGGAUUAUUUAGUUUUGUGAUUUAUUUUAUUAAAUUUUUAUUCUUAAGGGAUUUUUUUUCGAAUUUGACCCACUGAAUUACGAGACUGAUAAGAAAUCAGUUCUAGAUUCAAAAGAUUAAAAAAAAAAGUUUCCCCUAGUUUUGCUCUUGACCCCCUAGGCCCUAGGAUUGAAAUAUAUUCUUAAAUUUACUACAGUAUAAUAGUGUAGGUUCUCAUAAAAAUUGAAAAUAUUGAACAAAAGAACAAAACUUUAAUAUUUCAACUACAGAAUUCAUACUUAGUGAAACAGUGACUAGAAAAUCCAUCUAUAUAAUUCAUACCAAAAUUACAUUAACCAUACAGCAGCAGGAGAUUCCUUCACCAAGAGAAAUGAAUUAAGAAUCAGACUUAAAUUAUCUCUAAUAGACAAAUUUUCCAAUAAUGAUCAGCCUCCACAAUGUCAUCAUAACAAAUGCUGUCACAAAUCCUCUUCAAGGAGGCAAAUCAUAAGGAAAGGCCAAAAUGGUGGCAAAACAGUUGAUCUGCAAAUUUGUAGUCUUUUGUUUGGCAUCUAAAGCAGAACCCAAAUUAGGCCGCGCAAAGGAUAAAUAUCAAGUAUACCCAUCAAGAGUUAGCUCCCACACUCCCCAACAAAAAUAAAUCUUUGAACUUAAAAAGGGGUCAAUUUUUAUUCUCUUAAAGAAAGUAGUCUUUGAUAGCCUUGAACAUAUAUCACAGUGAAGAUUCAACUAAUUUAAACCUAAUAAUUAAAAUGAAUUUAUAUAAUCAAAUAAAACCUAAUAGUUAAAAUGAAAACACCAAAAGGGCCAUCAGAAGCUAUCAAAAUCUGAUUAAUAGGAACAUACAAGAUCUCAAUAAACUGUAAUCUGAGAAAAACAUCCUCUUUUACCUGAUUCAGGUGAUUAGAGUUAGAGACAACUCGAUCUUAAAUUGUAAUAUUGAUGGAUCAAAUCAAAAAUUCCAAAACCAGCCUUGGCCGUUGUAACGAUACUUAAAAAAGUACAUAGCAUCGCGUAGAUAUUAGGCACGUGUUACAAGUUACGGAACUCAAUUCUGACUUACGGAGGCCGAGUUAUCAGCCCAUAGGCAAAACUGACUAAUACUUAGGCAAAAAGUUAAAAAAGAGGCCAAAACCCGUCUCAGUCAUCGUAACGACACAUAAACAAAUACAUAGCACCGUGUAGGUAUUAGGCAUGCGUUACAACUUACAGAACUCGAAUCUAACUUACAGAGGACGAGUUAUUAGCUCGUAUGCAAAACUAACCAACACUUAGGUAAACAGUCGAAAAAGAGGCCAAAACCAUCCUCGGCCAUCGUAAGGACACGCAAACACGUACAUAGCACCACGUAGGUAUUAGGCACGUGUUACAACUUGUGGGACUCGAUUCCGAUUUACGGAGCCCGACUUAUCAGCCCGUAGGCAAAACUGACCAACACUUAGGCAAAAAGUCAAAAAAUAGGAUUCUGACUUACGAAGGCCGAGUUAUCAGCCCGUAGGCAAAACUGACCAACACUUAGGCAAAAAGUCGAAAAAGAGGCCAAAACUUGUAUCGGCCUUCAUAACGACACGCAAACACAUACAUAGCACCGCGUAGGUAUUAGGCACGCGUUACAACUUACGGGACUCGAUUCAGACGUACGGAGGCCGAGUUAUCAGCCCAUAGGCAAAACUGACUAAUACUUAGGCAAAAAGUUUAAAAAGAGGCCAAAACCCGUCUCAGUCAUCGUAACGACACAUAAACAAAUACAUAGCACCGUGUAGGUAUUAGGCAUGCGUUACAACUUACAGAACUCGAAUCUAACUUACAGAGGACGAGUUAUUAGCUCGUAUGCAAAACUAACCAACACUUAGGUAAACAGUCGAAAAAGAGGCCAAAACUUGUAUCGGCCUUCAUAACGACACGCAAACACAUACAUAGCACCGCGUAGGUAUUAGGCACGCGUUACAACUUACGGGACUCGAUUCAGACGUACGGAGGCCGAGUUAUCAGCCCAUAGGCAAAACUGACUAAUACUUAGGCAAAAAGUUUAAAAAGAGGCCAAAACCCGUCUCAGUCAUCGUAACGACACAUAAACAAAUACAUAGCACCGUGUAGGUAUUAGGCAUGCGUUACAACUUACAGAACUCGAAUCUAACUUACAGAGGACGAGUUAUUAGCUCGUAUGCAAAACUAACCAACACUUAGGUAAACAGUCGAAAAAGAGGCCAAAACUUGUAUCGGCCUUCAUAACGACACGCAAACACAUACAUAGCACCGCGUAGGUAUUAGGCACGCGUUACAACUUACGGGACUCGAUUCAGACGUACGGAGGCCGAGUUAUCAGCCCAUAGGCAAAACUGACUAAUACUUAGGCAAAAAGUUUAAAAAGAGGCCAAAACCCGUCUCAGUCAUCGUAACGACACAUAAACAAAUACAUAGCACCGUGUAGGUAUUAGGCAUGCGUUACAACUUACAGAACUCGAAUCUAACUUACAGAGGACGAGUUAUUAGCUCGUAUGCAAAACUAACCAACACUUAGGUAAACAGUCGAAAAAGAGGCCAAAACUUGUAUCGGCCUUCAUAACGACACGCAAACACAUACAUAGCACCGCGUAGGUAUUAGGCACGCGUUACAACUUACGGGACUCGAUUCAGACGUACGGAGGCCGAGUUAUCAGCCCAUAGGCAAAACUGACUAAUACUUAGGCAAAAAGUUUAAAAAGAGGCCAAAACCCGUCUCAGUCAUCGUAACGACACAUAAACAAAUACAUAGCACCGUGUAGGUAUUAGGCAUGCGUUACAACUUACAGAACUCGAAUCUAACUUACAGAGGACGAGUUAUUAGCUCGUAUGCAAAACUAACCAACACUUAGGUAAACAGUCGAAAAAGAGGCCAAAACUUGUAUCGGCCUUCAUAACGACACGCAAACACAUACAUAGCACCGCGUAGGUAUUAGGCACGCGUUACAACUUACGGGACUCGAUUCAGACGUACGGAGGCCGAGUUAUCAGCCCAUAGGCAAAACUGACUAAUACUUAGGCAAAAAGUUUAAAAAGAGGCCAAAACCCGUCUCAGUCAUCGUAACGACACAUAAACAAAUACAUAGCACCGUGUAGGUAUUAGGCAUGCGUUACAACUUACAGAACUCGAAUCUAACUUACAGAGGACGAGUUAUUAGCUCGUAUGCAAAACUAACCAACACUUAGGUAAACAGUCGAAAAAGAGGCCAAAACUUGUAUCGGCCUUCAUAACGACACGCAAACACAUACAUAGCACCGCGUAGGUAUUAGGCACGCGUUACAACUUACGGGACUCGAUUCAGACGUACGGAGGCCGAGUUAUCAGCCCAUAGGCAAAACUGACUAAUACUUAGGCAAAAAGUUUAAAAAGAGGCCAAAACCCGUCUCAGUCAUCGUAACGACACAUAAACAAAUACAUAGCACCGUGUAGGUAUUAGGCAUGCGUUACAACUUACAGAACUCGAAUCUAACUUACAGAGGACGAGUUAUUAGCUCGUAUGCAAAACUAACCAACACUUAGGUAAACAGUCGAAAAAGAGGCCAAAACUUGUAUCGGCCUUCAUAACGACACGCAAACACGUACAUAGCACCACGUAGGUAUUAGGCACGUGUUACAACUUGUGGGACUCGAUUCCGAUUUACGGAGCCCGACUUAUCAGCCCGUAGGCAAAACUGACUAACACAUAGGCAAAAAGUCGAAAAAGAGGCCAAAACUUGUAUCGGCCUUCAUAACGACACGCAAACACGUACAUAGCACUGUGUAGGUAUUAGGCAUGCGUUACAACUUAUGGGACUCGAUUCCGACUUACAUAUGCCGAAUUAUCAGCCCGUAUGCAAAACUGACCAACACUUAGGCAAAAUGUCGAAAAAGAGGCCAAAACCGCCUCGGCCAUCGUAACAAUACGUAAACAGCAACGUAAGUAUUAGGCACGCAUUAUAACUUACGAGACUCGAUUCUGACAUACGGAGGCCAAGUUAUCAGCCCGUAGGCAAAACUGACCAAUACUUAGGUAAAAAGUCAAAAAAGAGGCCUAAACCCGACUCGACCGUCGUAAUGAAACACAACCGCAUACAUAGCAUUGCGUAGGUAUUAGACACGCGAUACAAUUUACGGGACUCGAUUCCGACUUACGGAGGCCGAGUUAUCAGCCCGUAGGCAAAACUGACCAACAUUUAGGAAAAUUUCGAAAAAGAGGUCAAAACCCGCCUCGGCCGUCGUAACAACACGUAAAGACAUACAUAGCACUGCAUGGGUAUUAGGCAUGCGUUAUAACUUACGAGACUCUAUUCUGACUUACGGAGGCCAAGUUAUCAGCCCGUAAACAAAACUAAACAACAUUUAGGUAAAAAGUCAAAAAAGAGGCCAAAACAUACCUCGACCGUCGUAACGACAUAAAAACAUAUACAUAGUACCGUGUAUGUAUUAGGCAUGCGUUACAACUUACGGGACUCGAUUCUGACAUACGUAGACCGAGUUAUUCGUCCGUAUUCAAAAUUGACCAUAACUUAGGUAAGAAGUUAAAAAAGAGGCCAAAACCCGCAUUGGCCAUUGUAACGACACACAAAUAUAUGCAUAGCACCGCGUAGGUAUUAGAUACGCGUUACAACUAAUGGGACUCAAUUCUGACUUACGAAUGCCGAGUUAUCAGCCCGUAGGCAAAACUGACCAACAUUUGGGGAAAAAGUCAAAAAAGAGGCCAUAACCCACCUCGGCCGUUGUAACGAUAUGGAAACUCGUACAUAGCACCGCGUAGGUAUUAGGCACGCGUUUCAACUUACUGGACUCGAUUCCAAUUUACGGAGGCCGAGUUAUCAGCCCGUAGGCAAAACUAAUUAACACUUAGGUAAAAAGUCAAAAAAGAAGCCAAAACCCGCCUCGGCCGUCGUAAUGAUACGCAAACACAUACAUAGUACUGCGUAGGUAUUAGGCAUGUGUUACAACUUACGGGACACGAUUUUGCCAUACGGAGGCCGAGUUAGCAGCCCUUGGGAAAAUUGACUAACACUUAGGCAAAAAGUCAAAAAGAGGCCAAAACUCACCUCGGCCAUCGUAACGACAAGCAAACACAUACAUAUCAUUGCGUAGGUAUGAGGCAUGCAUUACAGCUUACGGGACUCAAUUCCAUCAGACGGAGGCCGAGUUAUCAGCCCGUAGGCAAAACUGACCAACACUUAGGCAAAAAGUAGAAAAAGAGGCCAAAAUCCGCCUCGGCCAUUGUAACGAUACAAUAACUCGUACAUAGCACCGCGUAGGUAUUAGGCACGCGUUACAACUUACGGGACUCGAUUCAGACGUACGGAGGCCGAGUUAUCAGCCUGUAGGCAAAACUAACUAACACUUAGGUAACAAGUCAAAAAAGAAGCCAAAACUUGACUCGGCCAUCGUAAUGAUACGCAAACACAUACAUAGCACCGCGUAGGUAUUAGACAUAUGUUACAACUUACGGGACUCGAUUCCGACAUACGGAGGCCGAGUUAUCAGCCCGUAGGAAAAACUGACCAACACUUAGUCAAAAAGUCAAAAAAGAGACCAAAACUCGCCUCGGCCAUCGUAACGACACGCAAACACAUACAUAGCAUCGUGUCGGUAUUAGGCACGCAUUAUAACUAACGGGACUCGAUUCCGACAGACGGAGGCCGAGUUAUCAGCCCAUAGGCAAAACUAACCAACACUUAGGCAAAAGGUCAAAAAGAGGCCAAAACUCUCCUUAGUUGUAGUUAUGACACGCAAAUACGUAUAUAGCACCGCGUAGAUAUUAGGCACGCGUUACAACUUACGGGACUCGAUUCCGACCUACGGAGACCGAGUUAUCAGCCCGUAGGUAAAAUUGACCAACACUUAGGCAAGAAGUCAAAAAAGAGGCCAAAACCCGCCUCGGCAGUCGUAAAGACACACAAACAUAAACAUAGUACCGUGUAGGUAUUAGGCACAUGUUAGAACUUAUGGGACUCGAUUCCGACUUACAGAGGCCGAGUUAUCAGCCCGUAGGCAAAACUGACCAACACUUUGGCAAAAUGUCGAAAAAGAGGCCAAAACUGCCUCGGCCGUCGUAACAACACGCAAAUAUGUGUAUAGUACCGCGUAGGUAUUAGGCACAUGUUACAACUUACGGGACUCAAUUCCAACUUACGGAGGCCGAGUUAUCAGCCCGUAGCCAAAACUGACCAACACUUAGGCAAAAAGUCGAAAAAGAGGCCGAAACCCACCUUGGCCGUCGUCACAACACGUAAACACAUACAUAGCACCACGUAGGUAUUAGGCACACGUUACAACUUACGGGACUAAUUUCUGACUUACGGAGGCUAAGUUAUCAGUUCGUAGGCAAAACUCGCCAACACUUAGGCAAAAAGUCAAAAAAGAGGCUAAAACACGCCUCGACCGUCGUAACAACACGCAAACACAAACAUAGCACAAUGUAGGUAUUAAGCACGCGUUACAAUAUAUGUUACUCGAUUCCGACUUACGGAGGCCGAGUUAUCAGCCCGUAGGCAAAACUGACCAACAAUUAGGUAAAAAAUUAAAAAAGAGGCCAAAACCAGCCUCAGCCGUUGUAACGACACGAAAACACAUGCAUAGUACCGCGUAGGUAUUAGGCACGUGUUACAACUUGUGGGACUCUAUUCCAAUUUACGGAGGCCGACUUAUCAGCCCGUAGGCAAAACUGACCAACACUUAGGAAAAAAGUCAAAAAAGAAGCCAAAACCCACCUCGGCCGUCGUAAUGACACGCAAACAUGUACAUAGCACCGCGCAGAUAUUAGGCGCGUGUUACACCUUACGGGACUCGAUUCUGACUUACGAAGGCCGAGUUAUCAGCCCGUAGGUAAAAUUGACCAACACUUAGGCAAAAAAUCGAAAAAGAGGCCAAAACUCGCCUCGGUCGUUGUAACGAUACGGAAACUAGUAUAUAGCACCACGUAGGUAUUAGGCACGCAUUACAACUUAUGGGACUCGAUUCCGACAUACGGAGGCCGAGCUAUCAGCCUGUAGGCAAAACUGACCAACUCUUAGGCAAAAAGAGGCCAAAACUCACCUCGGUCGUCGUAACAACAUGCAAAGACAUACAUAACACUGCAUGGGUAUUAGGCAUGUGUUAUAACUCACGGGACUCAAUUCUGACUUACGAAGGCCGAGUUAUCAGCCCGUAAGCAAAACAAAACAACAUUUAGGUAAAAAGUCAAAAAAGAGGCUAAAACCCGCCUCGGCCGUCGUAACAACACGCAAAGACAUACAUAGCACCGCGUAGGUAUUAGGCACUCGUUACAAGUUACGAGACUCGAUUUCAACUUACGGAGGCCGAGUUAUCAGCCCAUAGGCAAAACUCGCCAACACUUAAGCAAAGAGUCGAAAAUGAGGCCAAAACCUGCCUCGACUGUCGUAACAACAUGCACACACAUACAUAGCACAACGUAGGUAUUAGGCACGUGUUACAACUUACGGGACUCAAUUCUAACUUACGGAGGCCGAGUUAUCAGCCCGUAGGUAAAAUUGACCAACACUUAGGCAAGAAGUCAAAAAAGAGGCCAAAACCCGCCUCGGCAGUCGUAAAGACACGCAAAUAUGAACAUAGCACCGUGUAGGUAUUAGGCACGUGUUAGAACUUACGGAACUGGAUUCCGACUUACAAGCCGAGUUAUCAGCCCGUAGGCAAAACUGACCAACACUUAGGCAAAAUUUCGAAAAAGAGGGCAAAACCCGACUUGGCCGUCGUAACAACAAGCAAACACGUGCAUAGUACCGCGUAGGUAUUAGGCACGCGUUACAACUUAUGGGACUCGAUUUCGACAAACGGAGGCCGAGUUAUCAGCCCGUACGCAAAACUGAACAAAACUUAAGCAAAAAGUCGAAAAAGAGGCCAAAACCCACCUCGGCCGUCGUAACAACAUGCUAACACAUACAUAGCACCGCGUGGGUAUUAGGCACGCGUUAUAACUUAGGAGACUCAAUUCUGACUUACGGAGGCCGAGUUAUCAACCCGUGGAGAAAACUGCACAAUACUUAGGCAAAAAGUAAAAAAAGAGGCCAAAACAUGCCUCGACCGUCGUAAUGACACGCAAACACAUACAUAGCACAACGCAUGUAUUAGGCAUGUGCUACAACUUACGGGACUCAAUUUCCACAUACGUAGGCCAAGUUGUUAGCCCGUAGGAAAAAUUGACCAACACUUAGGUGAAAAGAUAAAAAAGAGGCCAAAACCCGACUCGGCAAUUGUAAUGACAUGCAAACGCGUGCAUAGCACCGCGUAGGUAUUAGGCACACGUUAUAACUUACGAGACUCAAUUCCGACUUACAGAGGCCGAGUUAUCAGUUCGUAGGCAAAACUGACCAACACUUAGGGAAAAAGUCAAAAAAGAAGCCAAAACCCAUCUCGGCCGUCGUAAUGACACACAAACACGUACAUAGCACUGCGCAGGUAUUAGGCACGUGUUACAACUUACGGGACUCGAUUCUGACUUACGGAGGCCGAGUUAUCAGCCCGUAGACAAAACUGACCAACACUUAGGCAAAAAAAUCGAAAAAGAGGCCAAAACUCGCAUCGGCUGUUGAAACGAUACGAAAACUCGUAUAUAGCACCCUGUAGGUAUUAGGCACGCAUUACAACUUACGGGACUCGAUUUUGACUUACGGAGGCCGAGUUAUCAGCCCGUAGAUAAAACUAACCAACACUUAGGUAAAAGUUAAAAAAGUGACCAAAACCCGCCUCGGCCGUCGUAACGAUAUGCUAACACAUACAUAGCACCGCGUAGGUAUUAGGCAUACGUUACAACUUACGGGACUCGAUUCCGACAUACGGAGCACGAGUUAUCAGCCCGUAGGCAAAACUGACCAACACUUAGGCAAAAAGUCAAAAAAUAGGCCAAAAAAAACCUCGGCAGUCGUAACGACACGCAAAUACAUACAUAGAACCGCGUGGGUAUUAGGCAUGUAUUACAACUUAUGGGUCUUGAUUCUGACUUACGGAGGCCGAGUUAUCAGCCCGUAGGCAAAACUGAACAACACUUAGGCAAAAAGUCGAACAAGAGGCCAAAACCAGCCUCGACCGUCGUAACGAUAUGCAAACACGUACAUAGCACCGCGUAGGUAUUAGGCACGCAUUACAACUUAAGGGACUCGAUUCCGACAUACGGAGGCCGAGCUAUCAGCCUGUAGGCAAAACUGACCAACACUUAGGCAAAAGUAGAAAAAGAGGCCAAACCUGCGUAGGUAUUAGGCACGCAUUAUAACUUACGGAACUUGAUUCUAACUUAUGGAGGCCGAGUUAUCAGCCCAUUGGCAAAACUGACCAACACUUAGGCAAAAAGUCAAAAAAGAGGCCAAAAUUAGCCUCGGCCGUCGUAAUAACACACAAACAUAUACAUAGCACCACGUAGGCAUUAGGCACACGUUACAACUUACGGGACUCAAUUUCGACUUACGGAGGCCGAGUUAUCAGCCCGUAGGCAAAAUUGACCAAUACUUAGGCAAAAAUUCAAAAAAGUGGCCGAAACUCGCCUCGGCCAUCGUAACGACACGCAAACACAUACAUAGCAUCACGUAGGUAUUUGGCAUCAUUAAAACUUACGAGACUCAAUUCCAACAUACGGAGGCCAAGUUAUCAGCCCGUAGGUAAAACUAACCAAUAGUUAGGUAAAAAGUCAAAAAAGAGUCCAAAACUCACCUUGGCUGUAGUAACGACACGCAAACACAUAUAUAGCACCACGUAGGUAUUUGGCACGUGUUAUAACUUACGGGACUCGAUUCUGACUUACGGAGGCCGAGUUAUCAGCCCGUAGGCAAAACUGACCAACACUUAUUCAAAAAGUCGAAAAAGAUGCCAAAAACCAGUCUCGACUGACGUAAUGAGACGCAAACUAAUACAGCACCGCGUAGGAAUUAGGCACGCGUUACAACUUAUAGGACUCGAUUCUGACUUACGGAGGCCGAGUUAGCAGCCCAUUGGCAAAACUGACCAACACUUAGGCAAAAAGUCAAAAAAUAGAACAAAAUUAGCCUCGGCCGUUGUAAUGACACACAAAUAUAUACAUAGCACCAUAUAGGCAUUAGGCACGCGUUACAACUUACGGGACUCAAUUUUGACUUACGGAGACCGAGUUAUCAGCCCGUAGGCAAAACUGACAAACACUUAGGCAAAAACUCGAAAAAGAGGUCAAAACCCGCCUCGAUCGUCAUAACGACACGCAAACACGUAUAUAGCAUCGUGAAGGUAAUAGGCACGUGUUACAACUUAUGGGACUCAAUUUUGACUUACAUAGGCCGAGUUAUCAGUCCGUAGGCAAAACUAACCAACACUUAGGGAAAAAGUCAAAAAAGAGGCCAAAACCUGCCUCAGCCGUUGUAACGAAACGCAAACAUAUACAUAGAACCGCGUAGAUAUUAGGCACGCGUUACAAGUUACGGGACUCGAUUCCGACUUACAGAGGCCGAGUUAUCAGCCCGUAGGCAAAACUGACUAACAUUUAGGCAAAAAGUUAAAAAAGAGGCCAAAACCCGUCUCAAUCAUCGUAACGACACGUAAACAAAUACAUAGCACCGUGUAGGUAUUAGGCACGCGUUACAACUUACAGAACUCGAAUCUAACUUACAGAGGCCGAGUUAUUAGCCCGUAGGCAAAACUGACCAACACUUAGGCAAACAGUCGAAAAAGAGGCCAAAACCAGCCUUAACCGUCGUAAGGACACGCAAACACGUACAUAGCACCACGUAGGUAUUAGGCACGUGUUACAACUUAUGGGACUCGAUUCCGAUUUACGGAGCCCGACUUAUCAGCCCGUAGGCAAAACUGACUAACACUUAGGCAAAAAGUCGAAAAAGAGGCCAAAACUCGAAUCGACCUUCAUAACGACACGCAAACACGUACAUAGCACUGCGUAGGUAUUAGGCAUGCGUUACAUCUUAUGGGACUCGAUUUCGACUUACAUAUGCCGAAUUAUCAGCCCGUAGGCAAAACUGACCAACACUUAGGCAUAACGUCAAAAAAGAGGCCAGAACCGCCUCGGCCAUCGUAACAAUACGCAAACAUGUAUAUAGCACGGUGCAAGUAUUAGGCACGCGUUACAACUUACGAGACUCGAUUCUGAUAUACGGAGGCCAAGUUAUCAGCCCGUAGGCAAAACUGACCAAUACUUAGGCAAAAUGUCAAAAAAGAGGCCUAAACCCGUCUCGGCCGUCGUAAUGACACACAAACGCAUACAUAGCAUUGCGUAGGUAUUAGACACACGAUACAACUUACGUGACUCAAUUCUGACUUAUGGAGGCCGAGUUAUCAGCCCGUAAGCAAAACUGAACAACAUUUAGGUAAAAAGUCAAAAAAGAGGCCAAAACAUGCCUUGACCGUCGUAACGACAUAAAAACAUAUACAUAGUACCGUGUAUGUAUUAGGCAUGCGUUACAACUUACGGGACUCAAUUCUGAGAUACGUUGACUGAGUUAUUAGCCCGUAUUCAAAAUUGACCAACACUUAGGUAAGAAGUUAAAAAAGAGGCCAAAACCCGCAUCGACCAUUGUAACGACACACAAAUAUAUGCAUAGCACCGCGUGGGUAUUAGGCACGCAUUACAACUUACGGGACUCAAUUCCGACUUACGGAUGCCGAGUUAUCAGCCCGUAGGCAAAACUGACCAACAUUUGGGGAAAAAGUCGAAAAAGAGGCCAUAACCCACCUCGGCCGUUGUAACGAUAUGGAAACUCGUACAUAGCACCGCGUAGGUAUUAGGCACGCGUUAUAACUUACGGGACUCGAUUCCAAUUUACGGAGGCCGAGUUAUCAGCCCGUAGGCAAAACUGACCAACAUUUGGGGAAAAAGUCGAAAAAGAGGCCAUAACCCACCUCGGCCGUUGUAACGAUAUGGAAACUCGUACAUAGCACCGCGUAGGUAUUAGGCACGCGUUAUAACUUACGGGACUCGAUUCCAAUUUACGGAGGCCGAGUUAUCAGCCCGUAGGCAAAACUGACCAACAUUUGGGGAAAAAGUCGAAAAAGAGGCCAUAACCCACCUCGGCCGUUGUAACGAUAUGGAAACUCGUACAUAGCACCGCGUAGGUAUUAGGCACGCGUUAUAACUUACGGGACUCGAUUCCAAUUUACGGAGGCCGAGUUAUCAGCCCGUAGGCAAAACUGACCAACACUUAGGCAAAAAGUCGAAAAAGAGGCCAAAACCAACCUCGGCCGUCGUAACAAUACGCAAAGACAUACAUAGCACUGCAUGGGUAUUAGGCACGCGUUAUAACUUACAGGACUCGAUUCUGACUUACGGAGGCCAAGUUAUUAGCCCGUAAGCAAAACUGAACAACAUUUAGGUAAAAAGUCAAAAAAGGGGCGAAAAUUAGCCUCAGUCGUCGUAAUAACACAAAAAUAUAUACAUAGCACCACGUAGGCCUUAGGCACGCGUUACAACUUACGGAACUCGAUUCUGACUUACGGAGGCCGAGUUAUCAGCCCGUAGGCAAAAUUGACCAACACUUAGGCAAAAAGUCGACAAAGAGGCCAAAACCCGCCUCGGCCAUCGUAAUAAUACACAAACAUGUAUAUAGCACUGCAUAGGUAUUAGGCACGCGUUACAACUUACGGGACUCGAUUCUGACAUACGGAGGCCAAGUUAUCAGCCCGUAGGUAAAACUGACCAAUACUUAGGCAAAAAUUCAAAAAAGAGGCCAAAACCCGUCUCGACCGUCGUAAUGACACAAAAACACAUACAUAGUACAGCAUAGGUAUUUGACACGCGUUACAACUUACGGAGGGCGAGUUAUCAGCCUGUAGGGAAAACUGACCAACACUUAGGCAAAAAGUCAAAAAAGAGGAUAAAACACGCCUCGGCCAUUGUAACAAGACGCAAACACAUAUAUUGUACUGUGUAGGUAUUAGGCACGCGUUACAAUAUACGGGACUCGAUUCUGACUUACGGAGGCCGAGUUAUCAGCUAGUAGGCAAAAUUGACCAACACUUAUGCAAAAAGUCGAAAAGGAGGCCAAAAUCCGCCUCGACCGUCGUAAUGACACGCAAACACAUACAUAGUAUCGCGUAGGUGUUAGGAAUGCAUUAUAACUUACGGAACUAGAUUUCGACUUACGUUGGCCGAGUUAUCAGUCCGUAAGCAAAACUGACCAACACUUAGGCAAAAAGUCGAAAAAAGGCCAAAACCUGCCUUGACUAUCGUAACGAAACACAAACAUGUAAAUAGGACCGCAUAGGUAUUAGGCAAAUAUUACAACUUACGGGACUCGAUUCCGACAGACGGAGGCCGAGUUAUAAGCCCGUAGGCAAAACUGACCAACACUUAGGCAAAAAGUCAAAAAAGAGGCCACAACCCGUCUCGGCCAUCGUAACGAGACGCUAGCACAUACAUAGCACCGCUUAGGUAUUAGGAACGCGUUACAACUUACGGGACUCAAUUCCGACUUACGGAGGCCUAGUUAUCAGCCUGUAGGCAAAACUGACCAACACUUAGGCAAAAAAUCGAAAAAGAGGCCAAAACUCUUCUCGGCUGUAUUAACGACACGCAAACACAUACAUAGCACCGCGUAGGUAUUAGGCACGCGUUACAACUUACGAGACUCGAUUCCGACUUACGGAGGCCAAGUUAUCAGCCCAUAGGCAAAACUGACCAACAUUUAGGCAAAAAGUCGAAAAAGUUCCCAAAAACCCGUCUCGGCCGUCGUAAUAAGACGUAAAGUAAUACAUAGCACCGCGUCAGAAUUAGGCACACGUUACAACUUAUAGGACUCGAUUCUGACUUACGAAGGCAGAGUUAUUAGCCCAUUGGCAAAACUGACCAACACUUAGGCAAAAAGUCAAAAAAGAGGCCAAAAUUAGCCUCGGUCGUCGUAAUGACACAGAAACAUAUACAUAGCACCACGUAGACAUUAGGCACGCGUUACAACUUACGGGACUCGAUUUUGACUUACGGAGGCUGAGUUAUUAGCCCGUAGACAAAACUGACCAACACUUGGGCAAAAACUCGAAAAAAGGCCAAAACACGCCUUGGCCGUCAUAACGAUACGCAAACACUUAUAUAGCACUGUGUAGGUAUUAGGCACGUGUUACAACUUACAAAACUCGAUUCAGACGUGUAUAGGCCAAGUUAUCAGCCCGUAGGCAAAACUGACCAACACUUAGGCAAAAAGUCGAAAAAGUGGCCAAAAACCCGUCUCGGCCGUCGUAAUAAAACGCAAACUAAUACAUAGCACCAUGUCAGAAUUAGGCACGCGUUACAACUUAUAGGACUCGAUUCUGACUUACGGAGGCCGAGUUAUUAGCCCAUUGGCAAAACUGACCAACACUUAGGCAAAAUGUCAAAAAAGAGGCCAAAAUUAGCCUCGGUCGUCGUAAUGACACACAAACAUAUACAUAGCACCACGUAGGCAUUAGGCACGUAUUACAACUUACGGGACUCAAUUUCAACUUACGGAGGCCGAGUUAUCAGCCCGUAGGCAAAACUGACCAACACUUAUGCAAAAAGUCAAAAAAGAGGCCAAAACUCGCAUCGGCCAUCGUAACAACAUGCAAACACAUACAUAGCAUCGCGUAGGUAUUAGGCACACAUUACAACUUACGGGACUCGAUUCCGACAGACGAAGGCCGAGUUAUCAGCCCGUAGGCAAAACUGACCAACACUUAGGCAAAAAGUCAAAAAAGAGGCCAAAACUCUCCUCAGCUGUAGUAACGACACGCAAACACAUACAUAGCACCGCGUAGGUAUUAGGCACGCGUUACAACUUACGGGACUCGAUUCUGACUUACGGAGGCCAAGUUAUCACCCCGUAGGCAAAACUGACCAACACUUAGGCAAAAAGUUGAAAAAGUUCCCAAAAACCCGUCUCCGCCGUCGUAAUAAGACGCAAAGUAAUACAUAGCACCGCGUCAGAAUUUGGAAUGCGUUACAACUUACAGGACUCGAUUCUGACUUACGAAGGCCGAGUUAUUAGCCCAUUGGCAAAACUGACAAACAUUUAGGCAAAAAGUCAAAAAAGAGGCCAAAAUUAGCCUCGGUCUUCGUAAUGACACACAAACAUAUACAUAGAACCACGCAGACAUUAGGCACGCGUUACAACUUACAGGACUCGAAUUUGACUUACAGAGGCCGAGUUAUCAGCCCGUAGGCAAAACUGACCAACACUUGGGCAAAAACUCGAAAAAAGGCCAAAAUCCGCCUUGGCCGUCAUAACGACACGCAAACACGUAUAUAGCACUGUGUAGGUAUUAGGCAUGUGUUACAACUUAUAGGACUCGAUUCAGACUUAUAUAGGCCGAGUUAUCAGCUCGUAGGCAAAACUGACCAACACUUAGGUAAAAAGUUAAAAAAGAGGCUGAAACUCGCCUCGGCCGUCGUAACGAUACGCAAAGAAGUACAUAGCACCGUGUAGGUAUUAGGCAUGAGUUAUAACUUACGGGACUCGAUUCUGACUUACGGAGGCCGAGUUAUCAGCCCGUAGGCAAAACUGACCCAACACUUAGGUAAAAAGUUAAAAAAUAAGCCAAAACCCGCCACGGCCAUCGUAAUGAUACGCAAAUACAUACAUAGCACCGCGUAGGUAUUAGGCAUGUGUUACAACUUACGGGACUCGAUUCUGACUUACGGAGGCCGAGUUAUCAGCUCGUAGACAAAACUGACCAACACUUAGGUAAAAAGUCAAAAAAGAGGCCAAAACCCGCCUCGGUCGUCGUAACAACACGCAAACACGUAUAUAUCACUGUGUAGGUAGUAGGCACGCGUUACUACUCACGGGACUCGAUUCUGAUUUACCGAGGCCGAGUUAUAAGCCCGUAGGCAAAAUUGACCAACACUUAGGCAAAAAGUCGAAAAAGAGGCCAAAACCCGCCUCAACCGUUGUAAUGAGAAGGAAACUCGUACAUAGUACCGCGUAAGUUUUAGGCAUGCGUUACAACUUACGAAACUCGAUUCCGACUUACGGAGGCCGAGUUAUAAGCCUUUAGGCAAAAUUGACCAACACUUAGGUAAAAAGUCAAAAAAGAGGCCAAAACCCGCCUCAGCCAUCGUAACGAUACGCAAACACAUGCAUAGCACCGCGUUGGUAUUAGGCAUACAUUACAACCUACAGGACUCGAUUUCGACAUACGGAGUCCGAGUUAAUUACUCCUUACUUAUCACACUGAAACUCUCAACUUAAUUGAUUAGCGUGUAUUGACCAUUAAAGUCCUUAACCAUAGAACUUUAACCAAAGAUGGAGUUUUUACUUUCAACCAAUUGUCUUUUAUACACAAAAUAUGAGUAAAGCCUAAAAAGUUAAAUUCUUUUAUUGAGAAUACAUCAACAUUAAAUAUGGUGAUAAAAAUAAUGACGCUGAAUGUUGUUUCUUCAAAAAAAAAAAGUAAUGGUUGAAUAUUUAUUAUAAGGGCAUAAAAGUAAAACAAUGAACCAACUAAAUUUUAUAAAUAAUAAGUAGCCUAUAUAUUGGGACAUCCCAAAAUGAAAAAUCACCCUAUAACUAUGGGACGGAAGGAGUAUUUAUAUUCAAAAUUUUAGAAACAAUUUAAACAUGUAAGAAAUCGAACUAGUCGAACCAAUCUCGAACUUAUCAAACCAAACUCGAACUUAUCGAGUCAAUCUCGAACUUAUCGAACUGAACUCGAACUUAUCGAACCGAACCACAUGGUUCGCGAACAUGUUCGAUCGAGCAAUCGAACGUAACACUAUGUGCAAACUCGACUCGACUAGGCGAGCAUCGAAUUCGAACUGAACCGGUUCACGAACGUUUGCAGCCCUACAGUAAUAUACUACAUACCUGAAGGGCAUACAAGGCAAUUUUAACUAAACUGCUGAAAGAUGAUACAAUCCAUAUCGCAAAACUUUUUGGUUCUCACUAUUUUAUCAAAUCAACUAGAUAAUAGCUCAUAAUUGACAUGAACAUAUAAUGAAGAAAUUAACACUUCAAACCAAAGAUAACAGCUUUGUGACGACCAGUUUCAUCAAAUGAUUCAUCUCCAGAUGAAACAGUCACAUUAUACAGAAAGCUUAGUAAUUGAUAACAUCGGUAGAAUGUCUAAAAGAGAAACUGGCAUGGAUAAAGCCCUCAAGAGAACAUGACAUCAAGACUUAAGAUAUUUAAGUUGUCUACUCUAUGCUCAACAUAUGAACCAGAAAGUCUAGAAGUCCCAAGAACUGUGACCUGCAAUUGAAUGAACAAACAAUUUCAAAUAAUUAGACCAUUUAAUGUAGUCAUUCGAAGAAAGCAGGGACUUCGAGAAGUUAUGAAAAAAUGUCAUAAAAAAAAGAAGAAGAAAAGAGAUGUCUUGAUGCAGUACGGAAGAAGAAAUUCAAUAAGUUUAUUAUUAAUUUUGUAUUUUUAUUUAGAGAUAAAUGUAUUAUUAAUGAAAUUAUUUAGUAGGAUAUUAUAGUAAUAGCUUUUCAUUAUGAGAGUUUUAAUUGUAGUAAUAGAUUUCAAUUAGGAGAGUUUAUAAUAGUAGUAGAUUUUAGUUAGAAGAUUGUUUCCUAGUAUUGGGUUUUAUAUUUAAGCAUUGUAAUACUUCAUAAGUUUCUGAAAUUUUCAAUUCAGACCCUUAGGUUUUUGAAAUUUUCAAUUCUGUCCCCAAAGUUUCUAAAAUUUUCAAUUCAGCCCCUAAAGUUUCUGAAAUAUUCAAUUUAGCCCCCAUAGUUUUUGAAUUUUCAAUUUAACCCCCAAAGUUUUUAAAGUUUUCAAUUCAGCCCCUCUACAUAUAUACAAUGUCUUCCAGGUUUAACAAUCCAGACUUUCUUUGGGCUAAGAUAAAGCAACUUGAGCAUCGAACUUUGAUCAUAUGCGAGCAAUUUAAAUGGUCUUGUGUCCCGUAUAGUGCGAGAGUAUUGGAAAUUAUGUGAUGAGCUUGCACUUUCUGAAAAAAGUCUUGCAAAUUUAAAGGCACAUUACGAGUACAUAACCACAUGUUUUGUUUGUCCAUGUUUUGUUCAGGCACCAAAAAUUUUCAUCUUAAUCGUGUUUGUUCAACUAAAGCGACGCGUUCACAAGAGGAAACCUGCAACGUAAAUUCUUACAAGACAAUUGAUGACUAUUUCACAAUACUUAAACGUCUCAAUAACCAAUAUGAAAUUGGUAAGGAUAAAGAAGAGCAAGUACUCUCACAUAUUAAUGCUGGUGAGAAACAUGAAUCGGAAGUUAAGUGUGUUGAAAAACUUGCAGAUUCAGAGAUGAUUUGCAGUGAGAAAAUUGAAGUUAAGUUUGACCCCAAAUGCGAAAACAUCAAGGAAGAUAAAGUUGAGGUCAACAAUACUGAUUUUCUCUUUCCCGUUGAUACAGUUGAGUUCCCAACUACUUCAAAUUUCUAUAUUAUGUCAUUGUUAUUCCCAAAAAUUGUGCUAAUGACAUUAAAACAUUGGAUGCGAAUGUUUUGUUGGAAGAAAUCUCUCGGGCCGUGGUUUAUUAUUCUACGAUAUUUCAACUCGAGGACAAGUUUUUUUCUAAGGCGAGGAGAAUGAUGAAGUAUGGAAGAAAAAAUUCAAUAAGUUUGUUAUUAAUUUUGUAUUUUUAUUUAGAGAUAAAUGUGUUAUUAAUUAAAUUAUUUAGUAGGAUAUUAUAGUAAUCGUUUUUCAUUAGGAGAGUUUUAAUUGUAGUAGUAGAUUUCAAUUAGGAGAGUAUUAUAGUAGUAGAUUUUAGUUAGAAGAUUGUUUCCUUUCUAANNNNNNNNNNNNNNNNNNNNNNNNNNNNNNNNNNNNNNNNNNNNNNNNNNNNNNNNNNNNNNNNNNNNNNNNNNNNNNNNNNNNNNNNNNNNNNNNNNNNUAUUGAAUAUAUUGAUUUGAGAUUAAAACUGUGUGCUUUUGUGUGUGUUUCUUUACCGAUUCUCUGCGGGAGAUAGGUACUCUUAUUCCUUCUUCCUACCCCGUCCUACAUCAUGUCUACUUAAGAGUGCCAUACACAAAUCUUAAUAUUUGCAAGGAAAAGUCAACAAAAGUAGGACUCUCUUCUCCAGAUGGAGGAAGUGAUCCGUAUUUCGUUUUCAUAUCAGUCUUUUUUAAUAUUUUGCUCCUAUUUUCUUUUAGCAUCUCUAUGGCCAGUGCUAGUAAUACCAUCUUAGCCUUUUAACUGUCUGCAACACACUUAUGUGCAGUAAACAAGCAAUGAACCAACACAAUGAGAAACAUGGAUGAUAACACAUUGCUAGGUCCAAAUUUUGUAUGCUAUUUAUCUGCCUCUAUAAAAGUGUUUACAAGAAAAAAACACAUAUGUUUAUACCUUUCCCCAUUCAGAACCAAGACCACCACAUCUUAUUUUCAAGUGUAUCAUCCUCGUUCCCAGUUCAUUCUCUACUUUCUUUCGCAAAAAGGUCUCAUCAGGUCCAAAUGCUUCCAGAUAUGCAGUGUAACGUUCAAAAGCAGUGUUUAAUGCUUUAACAAAUUCAUAUGGUAAAGUUCUGACAUUCUGCAGAAAUAUUCACAUAAGUAUACAACAUGAAUCCGAGAAACAGUAAAUAAAUAAGUGUCACCAAUGACAAUGUUUUUAUGUAACCUCGCCACUCAAUCCAAGGUUGUCAUCAAUUUCCAUCCUCAAAGAUACAAGUUUUCCCGUAAAUUCCUCAACUGCCUCAGCUGCACGGAGUAUAUUAGCCAAGAUCUUCUGGCCAACCUUGUCUUCUGUAUUUUUAGACAAUGCCUUGUUUGCAUAAUGAAUGACAGCAUUUGGGAGCUCAUCCCAACUUGCAGCCAUCAAGUCCUUGACAACAGUUUCGAUCUCACGAUCAUUUAUGGCAGGCAUGUGACUGAAAUAACGCCUGCUUCCAAUGUUCAUCGAACUCGAGAGAGGGGACCGGAAAUCUCGUAAUAUCAAAUGACAUCGCAUUAUUCUUUUUGGCAGGUAAUACAAAAAGAUAUACUAACUCAAAACAGGAAAGCUAAAGCUCAUAGAUAAUGUAUAUCUAUUGACUCUAGCCAAGCCUAACCAAAGUCCACAAUGCAGAAAAUCUGUCCUAAAGACACCAAAUGAUGCAACUUCUAAAUAAAUGCUCAUUAGUAAAUUUGUGUCCUAAAAGCACUCUCCACAUAAAGAUGUUAAGUACCCAGAUCAAUCUUGUUGAACAAAAUGCCACUCAAGUAGAAUUAUUCCAUCCCAAGAUAUUAUAAUUUAUAUAUAUAUAUAUAUAUAGUAGGAACAAAAGAGAAAAAUAAGCAAGG
rnacentral:lncRNA from 1 species